ACGGGGGGAGCAAGCGUUGUUCGGAUUUACUGGGCGUAAAGGGCGCGUAGGCGGCCACCGCAAGUCGACUGUGAAAUCUCCGGGCUUAACCCGGAAAGGUCAGCCGAUACUGCGGGGCUAGAGUGCAGAAGGGGCAACUGGAAUUCUCGGUGUAGCGGUGAAAUGCGUAGAUAUCGGGAGGAACAUCAGUGGCGAAGGCGGCUACCUGGCCCAAUACUGACACUCAGGUGCGACAGCGUGGGGAGCAAACAGGA
rnacentral:rRNA from 1 species